AGGGCACCACCAGGAGUGGAGCCUGCGGCUUAAUUUGACUCAACACGGGGAAACUUACCCGGCCUGGACACUGGAAGGAUUGACAGAUUGAGAGCUCUUUCUUGAUUCAGUGGGUGGUGGUGCAUGGCCGUUCUUAGUUGGUGGAGCGAUUUGUCUGGUUAAUUCCGAUAACGAACGAGACUCUAGCCUAUUAAAUAGGCUCUCGGCUUUUAAACGCCGGGAGGACUUCUUAGAGGGACAGGUGGCGGUUCAGCCGCACGAAAGAGAGCAAUAACAGGUCUGUGAUGCCCUUUGUUGUCCGGGGCCGCACGCGCGCUACACUGAAGAGAUCAGCGUGCUUUACGUUCCUGCUCCGACCGGAGUGGGGAACCCAGUGAACCUUCUUCGUGAUUGGGAUAGAAGAUUGUAAUUAUUCUUCUUGAACGAGGAAUUCCCAGUAAAUGCGAGUCAUAAGCUCGCGUUGAUUACGUCCCUGCCCUUUGUACACACCGCCCGUCGCUAUUACCGAUUGAACGAUUU
rnacentral:rRNA from 1 species